UAGUCGUUUAGUCGUGUCCAACUCUUCAUGACCCCAUGAACCAGAACAUGCAUGCCUUGGAAACUCUCACUUUCUUCUCAAAGCUUCUCCUUUUUUAUGUCCAUGGAGUUUUCUUGGCAAGGCACUCCUGUCUUCCACUGCCUCCCGCAGUUUGGUCAAACUCAUGUUGGUAGCUUGGAGAACACUGUCCAACCAUCUCAUCCUCUGCCGUCCCCUUCUCCUUGUGCCUGCAAUCUUUCCCAACAUCAGGGUCUUUUCCAGGGAGUCUUCUCUUCUCAUGAGGUGGCCAAAGUAUUGGAGCCUCAGCUUCAGGAUCUGUCCUUCCAGUGAGCACUCAGGACUGAUUUCCUUAAGAAUGGGUAGGUUUGAUCUUCUUGCAGUUCAUGGGACUCUCAAGAGUAUUUUCUUUAGGAAGGUUCAAUAACUUAUAGUUGGGUGUUGAACCAGCACCCCUUCAAGUGGCGUUGGACCACUACUCUCCACCUGCAUGGUCAGUACCAGAUUUACAUAUAAGCUAAACAAGCUACAGCUUAGGGCCCCAAAAAAAUAAUUUAAAGGAAAAGAAACUGGAUGUGCAUUUCCAAAAUGUAAGAUAAAAAACAAAUAAAAUAAAACCUUCAUACAGCAACAGUGCAUUGUGUUGUGUAGGCUCCUAUUUGUUAUGUGCAAAUGGCUUUAGAUACCUAUUAGGCCCAUAAAUUACCAUAUAGCAUAUAUGCAACACAAAAAACAGCGACAAUUUGUUGUUGACAAAGGACAGCUGGACAUAUAAAGGGCCCCAUUACCUUCAGUAGCUUAGGGCCUCAUCAAACCUAAAUCUGGCCCUGUGCAUGGUGGAUGAUCAGGGGCAAUGGAAGCUGAAGUUCAACAACAUACAGAAGGCCACAGGUUUCCCAUGCCUAGCAUGCCAAGUAAAAAAAGACGUGGCUCCUGCAUUGUCAAGAACUAGCAGUAAAUGACACUGUGGAAGUGUGCACUCUUUAUUAGCAAGAACAUGAUCUGUGCAGACUUGGCAGAGUGUCAGGCCUAAUAUGCACAGCAGCUCAUCCCCGGUUGGUCUUGAACCCAUGGAUCAACUGCAGAGACUGAAAGUCCCUACCUCCCCACAGCUGCCUAAGUCCCCUCCUUUUCCAGGGUUUAUCCCAAGCAAUUGGAGACUGUGCCUACAUGAAGCCAACCUGUCCUCUGCCCUUUUCAUGCCUCUUCUGGUUCUGGGAGACCAGAGGGGAGGGGAGCUUGCUGCAACAGCAGCAGGGGGAAGACACCCAUAUCUCUUCUCUGCCUCUUGGCCUCCCUCCCUCCUCCCUUGCUUCAGCUUCUGCCUCCAAUUCUGGACUUCUCUCUGCCAGACACUUCCCCAGCUCAUUAUGCAGUGUUACCUCUUCAGCUCCUGACACCUCCUCUUCCCUGUGACCACUCAUCAUUGUCCCACCACCACUCCCCAGACUUUCAGCCCUCUUCCCUUGGUGGUUCACCAGCUGGUUUCACCCCCCAUUCCUCUACGUCCAGCCUUUCCAUGGCACACACCUUCAAUAGUUGUGUUGGUAUAAGAAAGGAAAGGGAUGCGGGUGGCGCUGUGGGUUAAACCACAGAGCCUAGGACUUGCCGAUCAGAAGGUCGGCGGUUCGAAUCCCCGUGACGGGGUGAGCUCCCGUUGCUCGGUCCCUGCUCCUGCCAACCUAGCAGUUCGAAAGCAUGUCAAAGUGCAAGUAGAUAAAUAGGUACCGCUCCAGCGGGAAGGUAAACGGUGUUUCCGUACGCUGCUCUGGUUCGCCAGAAGCGGUAGUCAUGUUGGCCACAUGACCAGCUGUACGCCGGCUCCCUCGGCCAAUAAAGUGAGAUGAGCGCCGCAACCCCAGAGUCGGUCACGACUGGACCAAAUGGUAUGGGGUCCCUUUACUUUACCUUAAGAAAGGAAGCACUCUUUGUCACCUGUCCACUAUAAGUGCUUGGCUGCAGAGGGAGGAGAGAGACACAGAGAGUUGCCAGAAGCCAGCCCCAGAUGGUGAUUAAAGAUUUAUUUCACCAGAAACAUGUUUCUGUGUAACACAUUUUUAUCUUAUCUAAGAAAAUUAGAAUAAUACAACAGAGAAUAUCUGAAAUCGUUUUUUUAGACAGGGAGGGUACCCACAAUGUUCCACAUAAACACAUGUGCUGUACAAUAAUAUAGUUAUAUAAAUCUUGCCAGCGGGCAUUAUCUUCGACUUCAUAUCUUUAGGGGGAAAUGAAAAGCAAUCAUUCAUCUUUACCUUAACGUUACCACUUGAAGGAAAGAUACGAGAGGUUAUCUCUGGUGAAGCCUUGGCCCACAGCCGAGAAAUCUCAGAGAAAUUCCACCUGAGUGCCUCUGUUUCUCUCCAUGAGUGAAAGAAGAUUUACUAAGGAUGCUUCAGAAUGUAUUUUGAGGCCAAUUGCCCUAUUCUGAACUUUCCAGAUGAUACAUAAAUUGACCAAAACUGUGAAGAUUGUCAAAGCACAACUGGAAUGAACACACACGUGUGUGUGUGUGUGUGUGUGUGUGUGUGUGUUCAUCUAUGCAUUUUAUAAAAAAUCUGCUUUUCCAGUAGCGACUUUUCAGAUGCUAGAGAUUAAAAUAAAUUACCAAGUACUUCAUAAUACUGCAAGCAGAAAGGAAGAUUCUGGAUGUAAUCAUUCCAGGUCUGUGUAAAAAUAAUUACUGGUUUGUGUAGGGAUGUACAUGUUUUUCAACUGUUUAGAACUCUUACAGGUCUGAGGUGUUGACAUUCAAAUCAAAAUGUUUGUGUUACCUGGUUAUGAAAGAAAACUUAAGAACUGUGGCUCUGAAAACAUAAUUACUGUCAAUAAACUGAAAUUUACAUUUUAUUUCUUUUCUUGGGGUGGUUCUUUUUGGCAAUUGUGUAUUUUGGUUGCAAUUAGACAGUAAUGAAUGGAGGGGGAGGAGUGUACAUCAGGCCCAUAACUAUUCAUUAAGCUAAUCUAAUGAACCCUUUGGUCUGCAUAGUUAAAAAUAAGAAAUUGCCUCAUAGGAUGGUUAAGUGGUCCCAUACCUUCAUCCUUAACUUUGACAGCUUCAAUGUAGAGCUGGGAGGCAUCCUCAAACCAAAAAGCACACAGCUCUCUAAUGAGCUGGUAGAAUCAUACAACUUAAGCUAAUGAAUUUCUUAUCCUCUUAGACUGAUUUUUUUAAAAAAAAGUUUUCUGGGAGAAGUCAAAAGAUCUCAGCAUUUUAAAAGUGGAUUUGUACUUUCCAUUCCAGAGAAGAAGAAAAGAAUCUCAACAAUGGAUAAAACUCACAGCAUAAUUCUGAACGAACAAUUGUGUGACAAUAGCUUGACUAAAACAUGAUUAGUGUGUGGGGAAAGGCCUCUUCUGUGAUUUGUUGAAGACACCAUGCAAUGCACAGACACAAAUACCCACCAUGGCACUGAAAAUAUGUGAGUUCAUUGCAAUGUAAAAUGCCUACUGAUUCUGCAUUUCAUAAUAUUGUUCUGCAAGCACAGACGCACACACUUCCCUGAACUGUAUGUAGCUUUCAGAGCCGCCGUUUAUAGGACUUUACAGUCCUGAAGACUUAGAAUUAUCUAUGAAGAUUUGUGACGUAUUUUCUGAGAGCUACUUACUUAUAGGUAUUCAAACUGAGCAUGGGGAACAAGCCAGCUACUGAACUGAAAAUCAUUAGCAAGUUUGACACUAUGGAAUUUGGACUCAAUAGCCACUAGGGGCAGCUCAUUUUCUGCAGAAAUCAAUUGCUCCUCUCUAUGGGUGUUUACACUACCAGUCUUGCUGUGCCUACUUACCACCAUGUUGCACUAUUCACAUAGUUUACUAGGGCUCCUACAUUCUGCUCAACAGAUGCACACCCUUGAUGCCUCCAUUCUGCACUUUGUUCUCCAUAUUCGAUCCAUUCCCAGGUUACGUUGCUUUGCAGUAUUGUAAAACUAUAGCACUUCUCUCCCUCCCUCUCCAGCUUUGAUCAUCACUCGCCUCAACUACUGCAAUUUUCUGGUCUCUGAUAUUCCACUGCCGCCUCAUGUCUAUCUAGCACUCACCUGCAUAAAUCAUUCACCUGACACAAUGCCCCUCCUACAAAUCCCUAUUUUAUGGCCUCCAUAGGCCCGCUUAUUUGGAGGGGACAAACCAUGGUUUAUCAUGCAUGAGUGUAUUGCUUCCACUUUGCUCCAGUUCAAGCUAGGCAGAAGCCAACUACAGUCUUAGCAUUCUUUCCAAACAAGGGAUCAUGGUUUGUUUCACUCUUAUUAACUACGAUCAGUAAACGAAGGGCAAACCUUGGCUACAGAUCAUGGUUUGCUGGCAUGAAACAAACCAUGAUCCCUGAUUUGGACAGAACGCUAAGCUAGGGGCCAUGAUCUGUUUCCUCCCACUGCAAGUAGGAAGCAGCAAAGCAGUUCAGUCUGGUGUUUUCAUGGCAAACCAUUAACUGUGGUUUACCAUGGUGUGCGAACUAGGUCAAUCAGUCAACAUAUGCAGUGAAGGUGAGAAAGGGGCCAAAAUGUUAUUUUAUAAUACUACAAUUAGCCAAAUCCAUACAGGAAACUCCCUGUUUGCACAGGGGUGGUGUUCCGGGUCAUUGUGCACCUGCAAGAAAUUGCAGGGUUUUUCAAUGGAUGUUCCGAUUAUACACACAAACAACCUGUUCUGCCCCUGCCCCAACCCAUUCUGCCUCUUUUUUGUGAUGUUUUUGGGUGACUUCCAGGUUCGGUGUGAUACACAUGCGUGCAUGUGUGCAUGUGUGCGUCAUGCACAUAUCGGACGUGCCUAAAAUGGUUGCGGUGUUAUACCAUAUUAAUUUCUCUGUAGACCAAAAAUAAACAGGAAUUAAGCUGUUAUACUAUGAAAUGUGACUGAUUCCCCUGCUCUCGUUCUAGUCAAGCAGAACAUUUCUUUUGACCAUUGCAGUCAGGCCAAAUACCGUAUUUUAACCUAUUUGCCACCACAAUCUCUCUCCACAGCCCAACGUAGACUGCCUUGGUCGCUUCUGUCAAAAUGAGGACAGGCUUCACGGAAGGAACAAAGGCCUCUCUCCCUUUUAGUCAUUGUGUCCUUCCGAAAAAAAGAGAGAAGGGGCCCUCCUCAGGUAAUUAAUGCCCUGUGAUUAGUUCCCCUCUCUCUCUAUUUAUUCAGGAGUGGGGAGAGAGGCCCAAGAGAUCUCUUCACUAUAUGUGUGUGGAAGAGGGACAGGUCAAGGAGAAGGAGCAGCCUCAGAGGCAGCCGUGGCAUUGACAGAGCCUGUCCAUUCUCUUUGGUAAGGAGGGGAUCAGAGGAAAUAAGUCUUCCUACCCUCCUUCUGGAGAGGAAUCCAGACUGGGAAAUAAUGGCUGGCCUGCACUCAGACAUUCCAAAGAAAUCAAGGAAUACCAGCCUCUUUUCCUUCGUUUCUUCCCUUUACAUAUGAAGGCAAAGAGGAGGGGGAAACAAUUUGGCAAUUAUUAUUUCUGAAAAGAGGGGUUCUCCGAAAUGGGAAGACCUUUGAUGAUGGUGAUGAUGAGUCUUCCUUCAUAGGAAGUUUUUUUUUUAAAAAAAAAAAAAGCAAAACCAUUCAUGCCAAGGGAAGCCAGAAAAAUUUCUUCGUGGGACAGCAUGAGACUCACAGGUUUGCUGAAUGGGAAGCAAAUAGGGAGGGAGGGCGGAGAGAAGGCAUAGCCCCAUAACAACUCCCUUUGUAAGACACAGAAAAGGCCAAGCCAUCCAUUUGAAGAAACAAGGGGGGGGGGCUGGCUAUGAAUGUGUUGUUGAGAAUGGAAGAGAUCAGAGGGACAUAAAAAGGAAUAUGGCUUCUCGGUUCUCAGAUGAACAUUGCCCAGUCUGUAUUUACUGAACCUAUGGAACCUGUUUUUGUUUAACAAGGCUUGCUCUGAGGUGUGACCCAGUCAUUCUUGGGGCAUUAAUUGUACAUCUGUAACGAUGAGUUCAUAUUUUUUUUAAGGGUUUGUAGGAAUGGUUUUUUGUUUUCAGAACGUGCCAUUUUUAUUUUUGGCAUUUUCUCUGAUGUUUGUCUUGUUGCAUACCUGUUUGCAAUAAUAGCAAAACAAAACACUAAUACUGCAACAAACAAACAAACACACACACAUAUAUAUAUACAGAGAGAAGAGAGAGGAAGAGAGAGACCAUCAUCAUCAUCACAUCCCACUCGGAGUGAGUUAACGGAAUGACCUUUGGUUUGCUCCUCUAUGGGGAGUCUGAGAAAAUGACCCCUGACCUUUAGCUCAAUGGGAGCUCAGGAGAGGUCAGGAGGAAUAACUCUCACCGCAAUCUCUCUCUCCACAGGAGUUUGAAGGGGGGUGGACCUCAAGAACUGAGGAGUAUGUGAUCAGCAAAACUUUGCAGCAUUUCUGAAGAUAAAAAAAGCAGGCAGAGGGGGGAGGGGAGGUGAUAUGUUUAGCUACAGUCCCUUGGGGUGGGGGUGGGGGAAUCACCUACCAUUGAGAAACAAAUAAACCCAUUUCAAGCAAGAAUAUACCUCGACUCUUUGACUUGCAAAUCAGGAAAAAGACAAGCAGGAGGGGGGCGGGGGAAGGGAGGAGACCCAGGAUGUAGUUCAAAAUCAGGGUGUUCCCCUCUGAAGAGAUGCAAUCAAGGCUCCCAGCCAUCAGGCACAAUAGUUCUGCUUAAAGGAAGCAGCUCGGAAUUAAGCAGAGUGCUUUUUUGUUUUAAUGAGGUGAUCUUUCCCCCACAAUUACAAAAUGCCUUUGCUGAAUGUAGCAUCAACUAAAGGGGGGAAAUCUGGAUUGUUUGAUGGGGAAUUAUCAUCAAGGGCAUAUGAAUUAAAACUUCAAAUCUCCACUAUGUUUCUUUCUUUGUCUCCCAAGAGUCCAUACAGAAAUCAACUGGCAACACUAGCUAGAUGCUCAAGAAUGAUUUUUUUUCAACAACAACAAAAAGACUACAGAAUAUACCGCACUCCAGAUCUUUCCCAAUCAAGCCACACAGCUGUAAAGGUUCCUGUCUUUAUAGGCAAGGCUGUUAUUUAACAGAAACGAUAUCUUGCUUUCAGCAAUGGUUUGAUGUCUCUGCCCAUUAAGUCAUAACCAUACCAGC
rnacentral:lncRNA from 1 species